rnacentral:tRNA from 1 species
GGGAUGGUGGUGUAAUUGGUAGCACUGUUGCCUCACAGCUAGAAAAUCCUUGGUUCAAAUCCUGGCCCUGUGA